GGUUGCGAUUAUACCAGCACUAAUGCACUGGAUCCCAUCAGAACUCCGCAGUUAAGCGUGCCUGGGUGAGAGCAGUACUAGGAUGGGUGACCCCCUGGGAAGUGCUCGUGUUGUAACCC
rnacentral:rRNA from 1 species